UCGGCAGACCAGACAAUCGCUGUUUAAGCAAUUGCUUAAAGGGAGGAAAGUCCGGGCUACAUAGGGCGAUGUGCUAGCUAACGGCUAGGGGGCGUAAGCCUACGACAAGUGCAACAGAGAAUAGACCGCCCGACCACUCAACCGAAUUUUUUGCUGAUUGAUUAUCGGGUCUUAAAAAUUUCGGUUGAGUGGUUGGGUAAGGGUGAAACGGUGGGGUAAGAGCCCACCGCAUGACUGGCAACAGUUCAUGGCAAGGUAAACUCCACAUGUAGCAAGACCAAAUAGGAACUCAAUGGGUGGCCCGCUCAGAGUUCGGGUAGGUUGCUUGAGCGUGUCGGCGACGGCACGCCUAGAUGAAUGAUUGUCCACGACAGAACCCGGCUUAUCGGUUUGCCAAAAAU
rnacentral:RNase_P_RNA from 2 species